rnacentral:rRNA from 1 species
GACGUAGGGCGCGAGCGUUGUCCGGAUUUAUUGGGCGUAAAGAGCUCGUAGGCGGCUUGUCGCGUCGACUGUGAAAACCCGAGGCUCAACUUCGGGCUUGCAGUCGAUACGGGCAGGCUAGAGUUCGGUAGGGGAGACUGGAAUUCCUGGUGUAGCGGUGAAAUGCGCAGAUAUCAGGAGGAACACCGAUGGCGAAGGCAGCUCUCUGGGACGGUACUGACGCUGAGACGCGAAAGCGUGGGGAGCGAACAGG